GCGAACGCUGGCGGCAGGCCUAACACCUGCCAGUCGCACGAACUCUUCGGAGUUAGUGGCGGACGGGUGAGUAACACGUGGGAACGUGCCUUUUGGUUCGGAAUAACUCAGGGAAACUUGUGCUAAUACCGAAUGUGCCCUUCGGGGGAAAGAUUUAUCGCCAUUAGAGCGGCCCGCGUCUGAUUAGCUAGUUGGUGAGGUAACGGCUCACCAAGGCGACGAUCAGUAGCUGGUCUGAGAGGAUGACCAGCCACACUGGGACUGAGACACGGCCCAGACUCCUACGGGAAGCAGCAGUGGGGAAUCUUGCGCAAUGGGCGAAAGCCUGACGCAGCCAUGCCGCGUGAAUGAUGAAGGUCUUAGGAUUGUAAAAUUCUUUCACCGGGGACGAUAAUGACGGUACCCGGAGAAGAAGCCCCGGCUAACUUCGUG
rnacentral:rRNA from 1 species